CCUACGGGAGGCAGCAGUGGGGAAUAUUGGACAAUGGGGGGAACCCUGAUCCAGCGACGCCGCGUGAGUGAAGAAGUAUUUCGGUAUGUAAAGCUCUAUCAGCAGGGAAGAAAAUGACGGUACCUGACUAAGAAGCCCCGGCUAACUACGUGCCAGCAGCCGCGGUAAUACGUAGGGGGCAAGCGUUAUCCGGAUUUACUGGGUGGAAAGGGAGCGUAGACGGUGCAGCAAGUCUGAUGUGAAAGGUCGGGGCCCAACCCCGGGACUGCAUUGGAAACUGUUGAACUGGAGUACAGGAGAGGUAAGCGGAAUUCCUAGUGUAGCGGUGAAAUGCGUAGAUAUUAGGAGGAACACCAGUGGCGAAGGCGGAUUACUGGACUGUAACUGACGUUGAGGCUCGAAAGCGUGGGGAGCAAACAGGAUUAGAUACCCUAGUAGUC
rnacentral:rRNA from 1 species